rnacentral:piRNA from 1 species
UAAGGUAGGUGUUUGCAGAUGUCCUGUGU